AGAGCGAACGCUGGCGGCAGGCCUAACACAUGCAAGUCGAACGGAUCCUUCGGGAUUAGUGGCGGACGGGUGAGUAACACGUGGGAACGUGCCUUUUGGUUCGGAACAACCCAGGGAAACUUGGGCUAAUACCGGAUACGCCCGCAAGGGGAAAGAUUUAUCGCCGGAAGAUCGGCCCGCGUCUGAUUAGCUAGUUGGUGAGGUAACGGCUCACCAAGGCGACGAUCAGUAGCUGGUCUGAGAGGAUGAUCAGCCUCACUGGGACUGAGACACGGCCCAGACUCCUACGGGAGGCAGCAGUGGGGAAUAUUGGACAAUGGGCGCAAGCCUGAUCCAGCCAUGCCGCGUGGGUGAUGAAGGCCCUAGGGUUGUAAAAGCCCUUUCGGCGGGGAAGAUAAUGACGGUACCCGCAGAAGAAGCCCCGGCUAACUUCGUGCCAGCAGCCGC
rnacentral:rRNA from 1 species